UGUACUAGCACAGGAUGGAUUUAUUUUUCAAUUUAAUAAAGACUAUUGUUCUAUUUAUUUAUGAAAUAAAUUAGUUUCAUCUGAUCUUUUGAUUGAUAGUCUUUAUCACUUACAUGUUAAUGCUAAUAUAAAUUUAAAUGAGUAAGUAGUGAGUGUCGUAGGCCAAAAAAGAUUCAGAGAUGAGUUUAACCAUAAGAUAUUUAUGGU
rnacentral:lncRNA from 1 species